AAACCAACAGGGAUUGCCUCAGUAACGGCGAGUGAAGCGGCAACAGCUCAAAUUUGAAAUCUGGCCCCCUCGGGGUCCGAGUUGUAAUUUGUAGAAGAUGCUUCGGGUGUGGCCCCGGUCUAAGUUCCUUGGAACAGGACGUCACAGAGGGUGAGAAUCCCGUAUGUGACCGGUGGCCUCCCCCGUGUGAAGCUCUUUCGACGAGUCGAGUUGUUUGGGAAUGCAGCUCAAAAUGGGUGGUAAAUUUCAUCUAAAGCUAAAUAUUGGCCAGAGACCGAUAGCGCACAAGUAGAGUGAUCGAAAGAUGAAAAGCACUUUGGAAAGAGGGUUAAACAGUACGUGAAAUUGUUGAAAGGGAAGCGCUUGCAACCAGACUUGCGCGCGGUCGAUCAUCCGGGGUUCUCCCCGGUGCACUCGGCCGUGCGCAGGCCAGCAUCGGUUUGGGCGGCCGGACAAAGGCCUCGGGAAUGUGGCUCCUUCGGGAGUGUUAUAGCCCGAGGUGCAAUGCGGCCAGCCCGGACCGAGGACCGCGCUUCGGCUAGGAUGCUGGCGUAAUGGUUGUAAGCGGC
rnacentral:rRNA from 1 species